AACAUCGACAUUUCGAACGCACAUUGCGGUCCACGGAUACGAUUCCCGGACCACGCCUGGCUGAGGGUCGUUUAUAAAACUAAACCAGACUGCUCGCGACUGCGAGCGAUUACCUGAGCGUUCGUUUCGACCCGUCUCGCUGCUGCGAGCGGGACGAGGCGUCGCUCUAAAUGAUGAGAAAAAGUUGUAUAUUCGAACGCGACGAGCACACACACGUCUUGCACAGUGUCGAACGCGUCGCACGCCGAUAGUUGAACGCGUAAGCGCGCGCGUGUCUGGCCGUCGAGUCCCGGAGCUCUAUUGCGAGCGGACCGACGGCCUUACCGCGGCGCGCUGGCUUUCGGCGUGCGUUCUGUGCUUUAACAUGGCGCGCUCAUACGCUUUGUUACUUAACCAUACACGACGACCUCAGAGCAGGCGAGAC
rnacentral:rRNA from 1 species